rnacentral:rRNA from 2 species
GGUUAAGCGACUAAGCGUACACGGUGGAUGCCCUGGCAGUCAGAGGCGAUGAAGGACGUGCUAAUCUGCGAAAAGCGUCGGUAAGGUGAUAUGAACCGUUAUAACCGGCGAUGUCCGAAUGGGGAAACCCAGUGCAAUUCGUUGCACUAUCGUUAACUGAAUACAUAGGUUAACGAGGCGAACCGGGGGAACUGAAACAUCUAAGUACCCCGAGGAAAAGAAAUCAACCGAGAUUCCCCCAGUAGCGGCGAGCGAACGGGGAGCAGCCCAGAGUCUGAAUCAGCUUGUGUGUUAGUGGAACGGUCUGGAAAGUCCGACGGUACAGGGUGAUAGUCCCGUACACCAAAAUGCACAGGCUGUGAACUCGAAGAGUAGGGCGGGACACGUGGUAUCCUGUCUGAAUAUGGGGGGACCAUCCUCCAAGGCUAAAUACUCCUGACUGACCGAUAGUGAACCAGUACCGUGAGGGAAAGGCGAAAAGAACCCCGGCGAGGGGAGUGAAAAAGAACCUGAAACCGUGUACGUACAAGCAGUGGGAGCACCUUCGGGUGUGACUGCGUACCUUUUGUAUAAUGGGUCAGCGACUUAUAUUCUGUAGCAAGGUUAACCGUAUAGGGGAGCCGCAGGGAAACCGAGUCUUAACUGGGCGUUAAGUUGCAGGGUAUAGACCCGAAACCCGGUGAUCUAGCCAUGGGCAGGUUGAAGGUUGGGUAACACUAACUGGAGGACCGAACCGACUAAUGUUGAAAAAUUAGCGGAUGACUUGUGGCUGGGGGUGAAAGGCCAAUCAAACCGGGAGAUAGCUGGUUCUCCCCGAAAGCUAUUUAGGUAGCGCCUCGUGAA